rnacentral:rRNA from 1 species
CCCUUAGAUGUUCUGGGCCGCACGCGCGCUACACUGACGAAUGCAACGAGCUUAUAACCUUGGCCGAAAGGUCUGGGUAAUCUCCAAAUUUCGUCGUGAUGGGGAUAGAUUAUUGCAAUUAUUAAUCUUCAACGAGGAAUGCCUAGUAAGCGCAAGUCAUCAGCUUGCGUUGAUUACGUCCCUGCCCUUUGUACACACCGCCCGUCGCUCCCACCGAUUGAAUGGUCCGGUGAAGCGUUCGGACCGUGGCCUUUGGACGGUUCGCCGUCUGUUGGCUGCGGGAAGUUCGUUAAACCUUAUCAUUUAGAGGAAGGAGAAGUCGUANCA